AGCCGCAUGCGAAGAUCCAUUAUCGCAUGCGGCUGCUUAGGACAGCCGCAUGCGAUAAUGGAUCUUCGCGUGCGGCU
rnacentral:pre_miRNA from 17 species